AUGGCGAGCAAGCAAUGGACGCGGGUGCGCACGCUCGGCCGCGGCGCCUCGGGGGCCGAGGUGUUCCUCGCCGCGGACGACGCCUCCGGGGAGCUCUUCGCGGUCAAGUCCGCCACGGCGGCGUGCGCCUCGGCUCUUAAGAGGGAGGAGGGCCUCCUGUGCUGCCUGCGCUCCCCGCGCGUCGUCUCCUGCAUCGGCGGCCGCGCCGCCCGCGACGGCUCCUACCAGCUCUUCCUCGAGUUCGCCCCGGGAGGCUCGCUGGCGGACCGGUCGGCGAUCGACGGGGGGCUCGACGAGCGCGCCGUCCGCGGGUACGCCGCAGACGUGGCGGCCGGGCUCGCGUACCUUCACGGCGCCGGGAUGGUGCACGGGGACGUCAAGGCCAGGAACGUCGUGAUCGGCGCCGACGGCCGCGCCAAGCUCGCGGACUUCGGCUGCGCGAGGAAAGUGGGCGCUGGCGUGCCGAUCAUCGGCGGCACGCCCGCGUUCAUGGCGCCGGAGGUGGCGCGCGGCGAGGAGCAGGGCCCCGCGGCCGACGUCUGGGCGCUCGGCUGCACGGUCGUCGAGAUGGCCACCGGCCGCGCCCCGUGGAACGGCAUGGACGGCGACGCGCUCGCCGCGCUGCACCGGAUCGGGUACACGGAGGCCGUCCCAGAGGUGCCCCAAUGGCUGUCCGCCGAGGCCAAGGACUUUCUGCGCGGGUGCUUGGUCAGGCAUGCCAGCGACCGGUGCACCGCGGCGCAGCUCCUGGAGCACCCGUUCUUGGCCUCCGCCGUGGUCGACGCGAAGCCGCAAGCCAUGGAGAGCAAAUGGGUGUCGCCCAAGAGCACGCUAGACGCGGCAUUAUGGGAGUCGGAGUCCGACACCGAGGAGCCGGAGCAGGACAGCACCGAGAGGAGGAUCAGAGCAUUGGCCAGCCCUGCCUCGGCGCUCCCGGACUGGGACUCGGACGAGGGCUGGAUCGACGUGCUCUCCGCGCCAACCGAAGCAGCGGACGCAGUUGCCGUGCCGACCAAGGAGACGACUGGCAUAACCGUGGACGACGGGAUCACAAGUGAAGAAAAAUCAGUAGAUGCAGAGUCCGGCUUUCCCGACAUUGCCGUUGACGUAGAACACAGCAGCUUCCUCAACGGAGGAGAUGCAUUUGAAGACGAUCCAGUAGGGCACCGUAGGCAUUAUCAGUCUUUGGAGAAUUUAGCUUCUCACCAACCGAUGUCAUGUAAAUUGUUACUAGUACAAACAGUACUGUUUUGCAACAUAAUCGAUUUCGUUCUUACACAGCCAGCAUCCCGCUUCGCGCUGCUCCUCUGUUUUUUUCUCAGCUCAUACUUCUGCUCCCCGUUGCGACGUGCAGUAACUAACAGCUCAUACUUCAACUCGAAGAACAAUUAG
rnacentral:rRNA from 1 species